AUUGAACGCUGGCGGCAGGCUUAACACAUGCAAGUCGAACGAGUGGCGGAAGGGUGAGUAAUGCUUGGGAAUCUAGCUUAUGGAGGGGGAUAACUACGGGAAACUGUAGCUAAUACCGCGUACCAUAGGAUGAGCCAAAGUGGGAUUAGGUAGUUGGUGAGGUAAAGGCUCACCAAGCCGACGAUAUCUAGCUGGUAUGAGAGGAUGACCAGCCACCACUGGACUGAGACACUGACCAGACUCGUACGGGAGGCAGCAGUGGGGAAUAUUGCGCAAUGGGGGCAACCUGACGCAGCCAUGCCGCGUGAAUGAAGAAGGCCUUCGGGUUGUAAAGUUCUUUCGGUAGCGAGGCGUUAACUACAGAAGAAGCACCGGCUAACUCCGUGCCAGCAGCCGCGGUAAUUC
rnacentral:rRNA from 1 species